UCCACGGCCCUUUUAAGGGCCACACAGAGUGGUUAUCGUUUUAUU
rfam:Echinostoma caproni strain Egypt genome assembly, scaffold: ECPE_scaffold0026248